GGCGGCUCGUUAAGUCAGAUGUGAAAGCCCUGGGCUCAACCUGGGAACUGCAUUUGAAACUGGCGAGCUAGAGUUGAGUAGAGGUAAGUGGAAUUUCAGGUGUAGCGGUGAAAUGCGUAGAUAUCUGAAGGAACACCAGUGGCGAAGGCGACUUACUGGACUCAAACUGACGCUGAGGUACGAAAGCGUGGGUAGCAAACAGGAUUAGAUACCCUGGUAGUCCACGCUGUAAACGAUGUCAACUAGCCGUUGGGCCUAUAUACAGGCUUAGUGGCGCAGCUAACGCAUUAAGUUGACCGCCUGGGGAGUACGGCCGCAAGGUUAAAACUCAAAUGAAUUGACGGGGGCCCGCACAAGCGGUGGAGCAUGUGGUUUAAUUCGAUGCAACGCGAAGAACCUUACCUACCCUUGACAUCCAGAGAAUCUGUUAGAGAUAGUAGAGUGCCUUCGGGAACUCUGAGACAGGUGCUGCAUGGCUGUCGUCAGCUCGUGUCGUGAGAUGUUGGGUUAAGUCCCGUAACGAGCGCAACCCUUAUCCUUAGUUGCCAGCGAGUCGAGUCGGGAACUCUAGGGAGACUGCCGGUGAUAAACCGGAGGAAGGUGGGGACGACGUC
rnacentral:rRNA from 1 species